rnacentral:snoRNA from 1 species
AACCCAUGGUGAGGGCACCUUCUCAACAAAUCCUUGUAUCUCUCCCAUGCAUCAUAUAAAUUUCCAAAUCCAUCUGCACAAAAGAAGAGAUAUCAUUCCUCAAUUU